AAAUGCUCAAUGCUUCAGGAAGCUUCGUUUCCCCAUCACUAGCUUCAUUGAUUAGUAAAUGUGCAGAAUUUCGGCAAAAAUCCAUCUACACCCACUGCAGGGCACUGGGCUUCCUCACAUCACCAUAUUUGAUGGUCGAAUAAAAAUGAUUCAACCAUCAGAAUUCCAGUUGUGGCAGUGUCCUAAAUAAAAGUACACAACGCAGAACGAACCACGCUACAUUAGCAGGACAGGAAAAUGGUCAAAUUCACGUGCUUAUCAAGAGAAAAUCCCUGCGGACUCCCUAAACACACAUGCUUCAUUUGUAAAAUAUGUCUGAGCGUUGGGAGUGUGCACCUGGCUUUCCGUAAAUAAAAAAAAUGGCGCUA